rnacentral:rRNA from 1 species
GACGAACGCUGGCGGCGUGCUUAACACAUGCAAGUCGAGCGGUAAGGCCCUUUGGGGUACACGAGCGGCGAACGGGUGAGUAACACGUGAGUAAUCUGCCUUUGGCUUGGGAAUAACUUCGGGAAAUCGGGGCUAAUGCCUGAUGUUUACUGUCUGCUGCAUGGUGGGUGGUGGAAAGAUUUUUUGGCCAGGGAGUGAGCUCGCGGUCUAUCAGCUUGUUGGUGGGGUAAGNGGCUUACCAAGG